rnacentral:rRNA from 1 species
UUGGUUAAGUUAGAAAGGGCGCACGGUGGAUGCCUUGGCACUAGGAGCCGAAGAAGGACGGGACUAACACCGAUAUGCUUUGGGGAGCUGUACGUAAGCGUUGAUCCAGAGAUUUCCGAAUGGGGGAACCCACUAUCUUUAGUCGGAUAGUAUCCUUACGUGAAUACAUAGCGUGAGGAAGGCAGACCCAGGGAACUGAAACAUCUAAGUACCUGGAGGAAGAGAAAGAAAAAUCGAUUUCCUGAGUAGCGGCGAGCGAAACGGAAAGAGCCCAAACCAAGAAGCUUGCUUCUUGGGGUUGUAGGACACUCUAUACGGAGUUACAAAAGAAAGUUAUAAAUGAAGCGGUCUGGAAAGGCCCGCCAAAGACGGUAACAGCCCGGUAGUUGAAAUGGCUUUCCCUCCAGAGUGGAUCCUGAGUACGGCGGAACACGUGAAAUUCCGUCGGAAUCCGGGAGGACCAUCUCCCAAGGCUAAAUACUCCCUAGUGACCGAUAGUGAACCAGUACCGUGAGGGAAAGGUGAAAAGCACCCCGGAAGGGGAGUGAAACAGUUCCUGAAACCGUGUGCCUACAAGUAGUUAGAGCCCGUUAAUGGGUGAUAGCGUGCCUUUUGUAGAAUGAACCGGCGAGUUACGAUUUGUUGCAAGGUUAAGCGGAAAAAGCGGAGCCGUAGCGAAAGCGAGUCUGAAUAGGGCGCAUAAGUAACAGGUCGUAGACCCGAAACCAGGUGAUCUACCCAUGUCCAGGAUGAAGGUAAGGUAAUACUUACUGGAGGUCCGAACCCACGCACGUUGAAAAGUGCGGGGAUGAGGUGUGGGUAGCGGAGAAAUUCCAAUCGAACUUGGAGAUAGCUGGUUCUCUCCGAAAUAGCUUUAGGGCUAGCCUCGAGGUAAAGAGUCAUGGAGGUAGAGCACUGUUUGGACUAGGGGCCCUUCUCGGGUUACCGAAUUCAGAUAAACUCCGAAUGCCAUGUACUUAUACUCGGGAGUCAGACUGCGAGUGAUAAGAUCCGUAGUCGAAAGGGAAACAGCCCAGACCACCAGUUAAGGUCCCCAAAUAUAUGUUAAGUGGAAAAGGAUGUGGGGUUGCUUAGACAACCAGGAUGUUGGCUUAGAAGCAGCCACCAUUGAAAGAGUGCGUAAUAGCUCACUGGUCGAGUGACCCCGCGCCGAAAAUGUACCGGGGCUAAACAUAUUACCGAAACUGUGGAUGAACCUCUUUAGAGGUUCGUGGUAGGAGAGCGUUCUAAGGGCGGUGAAGUCAGACCGGAAGGACUGGUGGAGCGCUUAGAAGUGAGAAUGCCGGUAUGAGUAGCGAAAGAAGGGUGAGAAUCCCUUCCACCGAAUAUCUAAGGUUUCCUGAGGAAGGCUCGUCCGCUCAGGGUUAGUCGGGACCUAAGCCGAGGCCGAUAGGCGUAGGCGAUGGACAACAGGUAGAGAUUCCUGUACCAGUGCUAAUUGUUUAACCGAUGGGGUGACACAGAAGGAUAGGGAAUCGCACGAAUGGAAAUGUGCGUCCAAGCAGUGAGUGUGAGAAGUAGGCAAAUCCGCUUCUCGCGAAGCAUGAGCUGUGAUGGGGAAGGAAAUUAAGUACGGAAGUUCCUGAUUUCACGCUGUCAAGAAAAGCCUCUAGGAAGAGUAGUACUGCCCGUACCGCAAACCGACACAGGUAGAUGAGGAGAGAAUCCUAAGGUGAGCGAGAGAACUCUCGUUAAGGAACUCGGCAAAAUGACCCCGUAACUUCGGGAGAAGGGGUGCUCUAUUAGGGUGCAAGCCCGAGAGAGCCGCAGUGAAUAGGCCCAGGCGACUGUUUAGCAAAAACACAGGUCUCUGCAAAACCGU